ACAGGUGNUGCAUGGCUGUCGUCAGUUCGUGUCGUGAGAUGNUGGGUUAAGUCCCGCAACGAGCGCAACCUUCGCCNUUAGUUGCCAGCAUUCAGUUGGGCAUUCUAAGGGGACUGCCGGUGAUAAGCCGAGAGGAAGGUGGGGAUGACGUCAAGUCNUCAUGGCCCUUACGGGGUGGGCNACACACGUGCUACAAUGGUGGUGACAGUGGGCAGCGAGACAGCGAUGUCGAGCUAAUCUCCAAAAGCCAUCUCAGUUCGGAUUGCACUCUGCAACUCGAGUGCAUGAAGUUGGAAUCGCUAGUAAUCGCGGAUCAGCAUGCCGCGGUGAAUACGUUCCCGGGCUUUGUACACACCGCCCGUCACACCAUGGGAGUUGGUUUUACCCGAAGGUAGUGCGCUAACCGCAAGGAGGCAGCUAACCACGGUAGGUCAGCGACUGGGAG
rnacentral:rRNA from 1 species